UGCAUUAGGAUAAAGCAUAUUCAUAAUAUCAUCGUCUAUUCUAUCACCUACUGCUACAUCAUUUAGAAAAUCAACAUCGCUAAAUUGAAAACAUGGGUGAUUACUAUCAAGUAUUCCAAAAUUUUCAUCAGUAUUUCUAGGUUGGCUACUAGUUUCAACUUGUUUAUCUUUUAUAGGUCGGGGAGCCGGGGGAGGGGUAGGAUUUUGGCGACUACUUUCACCGGAUUUAGAUUUACN
rnacentral:lncRNA from 1 species